AGCGAACGCUGGCGGCAGGCCUAACACAUGCAAGUCGAACGAACUCUUCGGAGUUAGUGGCGGACGGGUGAGUAACACGUGGGAACGUGCCUUUAGGUUCGGAAUAACCCAGGGAAACUUGUGCUAAUACCGAAUGUGGCCUUCGGGGGAAAGAUUUAUCGCCUUUAGAGCGGCCCGCGUCUGAUUAGCUAGUUGGUGAGGUAAAGGCUCACCAAGGCGACGAUCAGUAGCUGGUCUGAGAGGAGUGACCAGCCACAUUGGGACUGAGACACGGCCCAAACUCCUACGGGAGGCAGCAGUGGGGAAUCUUGCGCAAUGGGCGAAAGCCUGACGCAGCCAUGCCGCGUGAAUGAUGAAGGUCUUAGGAUUGUAAAAUUCUUUCACCGGGGACGAUAAUGACGGUACCCGGAGAAGAAGCCCCGGCUAACUUCGUGCCAGCCGCCGCCGUAAUAC
rnacentral:rRNA from 1 species